GGAAUGCGCAGGAGAAGGAAGUGGGGAUAAUGACGGAGUGUCACCGUGUGCGGGCCCUCCGCGGGGCUCGGCGGCUCCGAGGGCAUGGAGUGCAAAUAGAGUGGGUUCGGGAGCCGUUCUGAAAAGAAAGGCUGCCUUUGAGAGCCGCUGUCGGGAGCCGCGAAACUUUUAUCCCCGCGGAUGAAGUGCCGGGUUCGUCAGAGCUGUGUACUCACGGAGGGGUAAUGAAAGAGCAACGCUUUUAGCGUGGUGGAUGGAUGAAAAUAGGCCGCUGUGAGACUGAAAAUACGAUGAAGGUGGCACACCGCAGUGCUAAUUAAGUGUCUUAAUUGGGAAAAUAAUAACGCCCUCUCGGAUGUGCAUUGGGUCUGCUCAUUUCUCAGCUGUAUGAGUACACACAGGUGCAAGGAAAGUCAACAUUAUGUAAGAUGCCAAAAACCUUUGCUGGAACGUCGCUCCCUGCUGACAAGAUGAUCCCACACCGGGGUGUGGGCAUUCCAGAGAAUUAAACCUGUGUGUGAAAACACAUCUCAUAGAAACCAUGAACGCAUGCCAAGGUUUGCAAUGCCUAGGCCAGAGGAGGCUGGAGGAAAAUGGGCACUCGUCAUGGAAAGGCAGAAGACACUGUGACAGCAGAUGAUGACCAGCAUCUAGACAGAGAUGUGACCCAGAGGUUUUCAGUUGUUUACAAAGGAUGUGGCGAUAUGCAUUGGUUUGGAGUCUGACUGAAAUUGAUGCAGUGCACAAAACUGCACUGAGGUAGGAAGGCCCAGAUUGUGAGGCAGAAUAAAAGCAACACAACAUCUCCCUUAGGUGAGUGGAAACAUGGGCCCCUCAUCGUGUGCGUCAGUUCCUCCUCAGAUGCUUCAGGUUUCCUUAAAUAGAAGAUCUACUUAAAGAUGGUAGUCUUUAACAGAGGAGCAGGCAAAAACACCUUAUCUCAGGUCAAGCAUUGAUUUCAGCUUCUAUCUCACAGCCAGCGCUCAAGUUAGGCAAGUAUUGCCAUCCAAACAUGGCCCUUCCUGCCUGCGUAGAUCUGCCCUCUGUACAGACUGGAUGCAGCCAUACAGCUGCCUCAUGGAGCCGUGCUUCUACAUUGACAGUGUUCUCAACUAAUGCACGCAGGCACCCUGAGAUCAGUUACAGCCUGAGCUGUAGGUGUUGUUUUUGUAUACACCAGCUUGAUGUCAGCAGUACAGAGAAACCGCUUUAGAUAAAAUCAGAUUGCAGAUGAGUUUUAGUUUAACUAAGCUAAUAUCACUGAUGUUCAGGAAGUGCCAUUAUCAGGCACAAAAACACGAGUCACAGCAUCACACACAGAAACAUGACUAUUUGGCCAGUGGGUUGGGGGCUCCUCCUGUCUGCUGCCAGUGAUGCCUGAUGCUACAGAGCUCCAGGGGUGCAGCUCCAGGCUCCUCUUCCACAGAUUCCAUGGCAAGUCAGUAAGGUUCAAGCCAGGCUGAAGCAUCCAGCAGCCAAACUGCCAAGAGUAGCUUCCUCAAUACCAGCUAGCUGAACGAAGCUGAGCUCCAUAGGAUCUUUGUGCAAUGGAGCAAGGAAGAGAGCAAGCUGAGGUCUGCAGUCCCAGGUGAAAGGAAACAGUCUGAAGCGCACCAACUCCAAGCCAGUGCCAUCAGUGGGAUAGAAAUGCGGAGGGGACCUCAGCUGCAGCUCAUGGCUGCUGUCAGACAAGAACACGACACGGUGAAGUGGGGUCAGUCUCCCCGUGUGCCAGAUGUUGGACACAACUGUGUCAGCAUUCAAAAUAUGAGCAGCUGUCAGUAAUGCAGAGCCCUGCUACUAGAAACCACAUUUAAUCAACAAUUUGUUACUGGUGCUGUAAUGAAAAUAUGAUUUACAGACUAUUAAACUGUGGCCAGGUGGCAAUCUUUAUUUAGUGGUUUUACUUAUUAUCUGAAUAUUGCAUACAUCUCUUCACAGAGCUUAUAUAUAGAAGUAACCAGUAACACAUUAAAUGGCCAACGUUUACCACACCCACUUACAUCUGUGAUGCAUAACUGAGAGCUUCCUUGACCUGUUCUGAAGGUCACCACUCCUGUUACUGCUUCUGACUCUGUGGUGCAGGAAAAAAAAAGCUGCAGCGUUUGCAGAAAUCAAGGACAGUCAUGUCUGUGAGCCUCAAAGGAAUUGGCACAGCGCAAUGCUCACCACACAGCAGAGGAAGCACCUGUAAUAAUGAGUUUCAGGACAAAAAAGACCAAGAUUUUAAAGUGCCUGAAGUUCAAAAGGAGGAAAAGAAAAUCCUCUGCAUAAAUUGUAGAGUAAGAAAUAAUUUCUCUCCUGCAGGGUGUGCUCACAAUUCAGCAAUGAAAGUGCAUCUCAGGCUGCAGCAUGCUGCAGAAUGCCCCAGGGCAGGUUGCAGAACAGCCCAGGAACAGGACACACAUCCACAAUGUACUGCAGCACUUUAUGAGGGCACUCGAUGAGCUGCAGCCACCACAGCAUGAGCAGAGCCAGAGCACGAGGCGUGCUGUAAAGCAAGGAGUUCACUGCAGGAUGCUGAGCAGCCAGCAGUCACAUGCUGAGAUGGCGCCAACUGCUUGGAAGGCCUUUGGGAAGCUGCUCUGUGUCUGUGUCUAGCAUAGCGGACACCAGGCAAUAAAUACACCUAAUUACAUUACAUACAACUUCAUUUAAACCAAGUGUUUCUUUGCACAUAGGAGACUGCAUUCUCCAACAGACUUCCCGUAGCUCUGUGAAUUAACUUCUUGUCCCUUUCCACAGGAACACAAUGCCUCCUGGCACACCACUCAUGCUGUCACAUCAUCAGCACAGAUGACCUUUUUAGAGAGCAGACGUCAUCCUAUACGUACUACUGUCUGCUGGGCCAAGUGAUUACCAUGACGUGCAUUUCCCUUUACCUUCUGCUAUUUCACAGAAUCAUUUGAGUUGGAAGACGGCCUUAAAGGCCAUCUAGCCCAGCUCCCCUGCAUUCAACAGGGAUACCUCUAUAGCUCGAUCAGGUGCCAGCCUGAUCUUGAAUGUCUCCAAGGAUGGGGCAUCCACCACCUCUCUGGGCAACAUGUGCCAGUGUUUCACCACCCUCAUGAUAAAAAAAAAAAAAUUCUUCCUUAUAUCCAAUGACAAUCUCCUCUCUUUUAGUCUGAAACCAUUUCCCCUUGUUCUGUCACAACAGACUCUGCUAAAGAAUCUGUCCCCUUCUUUCUUACAGCCCCCCUUUAAAUACUGAAAGGCCACUCUCAGGUCUCCCUGAAGCAUUCUCUUAUCCAGGCUGAACAGCCACAGCUCUCUCAGCAUGAAAGACUGAUUUACAGAGGGGCUACCUGAAGAAAUGCUUUUGCUGUUCAGAGAAAGUUGUUCGGUCCAGAAGAUUUUUCAAAGUAUAAUGAAUCCUAUAGUAUUUCCACACUCUGGAUAUGGAGGAAGAGUUAGAAUCAUGGAACAUCCUAAGUUAGAGAGGACCACAAGGAUCAUUCAGUCCAACUCAAAGCAGUUGAGUUGAAGACAGUUUUCUAAAAUUGCUCUCAAAAUUCAGAGACUCCUUACAAUGAAGUCAGUGACAAAACAUUCAGAAAAUGGUGUUGAACCGACCUUUCUUCUGGCAUGCUUCUCACAGGAAAUGCAUGUAAUCUGUAUUUCAGCAGCGCAUUACCAUACUGUUUUCAGUUCCAUAACUUCUUUAGCCACAUUACAGUUAUUACACGAUCCUUUAGUUCUGAGUUUCAAAGCGGAUGGAAGCUCCUCACCACACCCUUCUUCUAGACUUUGCGGCUGCCCCACUUUGUGGGAUUUGCUCCUCUGCUGCACUGGGUCCAGUCGUGGUGGUGGAUUUGUCAUCUUUUAGUUUGAUGCAUCGUAAAAAGAGUCGAGUGAGUUAUAAAGCGAAGACACAGCCUUAAAAAGCAAAGAAAAUUCCAGUAAAAACUCUUACCAUUAAAGUCUACUUAAAAUGAACCUUGUAUCCAAGACACAACGUAUAGCGUAGCCCAAAUGAAAAGAGAAGCACCCUGAAGACACAUCACAGAAACGUGGAGUUAUAAUUUUAGAGGGAAAUUACUGACACUGAACAGCAAAACCUCCCUAUGUUGGGAUUCAGUGCUCAGCUAACGAAGCACCAGACUCAAGGUACUCACUGAGGAUACCAAAGAUACGAGUUCAGGUGUAAAUAAGGCUCUAUGAAAUCUGAAAUGCAAAAACUUUUUCAUGCCCUUAAUCAUUUAGCUCCGAUAUUUCUAAACAAAUAAUCUGCCAUGUUGUUCCUUCUGGGUCAAUGCUUCGUGAUGCAGUAAACCACCAAACUGAAGUCGUAUUCAGAUGUUAUUCUGGGCUAUGCAUUUUCAUUUCCUUAUUUUCCAACGUAUUUUCAUUUCCUAAGCACACGUAGGAUUUGGGAACUUCAAGUCAGUUCUUUAGCAAAACCUGAGAAUUAAUGUUCUCCCUGGAACACGCACAAAGGUCUGAGCUCACAGACACACAGCAAAUAAAAAUAGAAAGAAGGUGAAUGCUGUAGAGUGUGACAACAAAAAGCUGGCCCUUCCCUCUGGAGGCUUUCUGUUUUUGCUUUAAUAAAGGAUGCUCAGAUCUACCUGCUCUCAGCAAGCACUGCACGCUGUAAUGGCCUUUUGCACUGAAGCUGUUCCAAGCUCCUUGAGCUGAACUUGGUGUGCAAAUACAUGUGAACAACAUCAUUGCCAUUUUUUAUUUCUCUUACACUUCUUUCAGACAGUAUUUAUAUUGAGAUUCUCCACUUUUUGCUGCCUUUCUUUCCAGAGUCAUUGAACAUAACAACCUUAACAAAUGAAGCCAAUACUUUCCCAGUAAUCUGUGUCUUUUUCCUUAUUUCAGGGUGCUGGCUCUUAAGGUACUUAUUUUUCAUUUUUGUGCUUCAGAACUUCUUCACAUGCAGUAAGAUGCCGUUCUUAGAGCUGCAGUUUAUCACUGCAUGCUUUCAGUUCAGUACAUACCCCCCAGUGCCUCAUUUUGGAACUCUUUUCCUCACAGCAAGAGAAAGCUUUACCACCAACCACUUACCCAUCCAGCUUCUUCUCUGGUGGAUUCAGUUCUUCCAUACAUUUCUGCCACCUCAAGUGUCUGCUCCUCCUGACGUCCUCGUUGUGGUGCAGGAAGCUGGGCAGAACCUUAGUAGAAAAGAGUUAUGGUCACCGCUUUCUUAUCACCCACACUUGUACUCCACCAGAGCAAACCGCUGAAACAAAGCAUGUAGAGCUCAUGUCCGGCCAGUCAGCGAGAGAUGCUAGUGGGGCAUUCUGCUGGCAGAUGAUAUCAGUUACCUUCUGGUUUCUCAACAUCUCUUUCAUGACAGAGAUCUUGUCAACAGCACAUGCCACAAAAACUAGUCUAAAUAACCAAUCAGCUUACCUCUGAGUAGACACCUACUACUUAUCAGUUCUGACAUAGACCUCAAGUUCCAUGUCUUUGUCACCUCCAGUUAUCAAAACAAAAUCAUACAUUCAUAGAAUUUUUUGAGUUAUUUAAAAAUCAUCUAGUCCAGCUUCCCUGCAAUGACCAGAGAUGCCUACAGCUUGACCAGGCUGCUCAGAGCCCCUUCCAGCCUGACCUUGAAUGUCACCAAGGAUGGGGCAUCCACCACCUAUCUGGGCAACAUGUGGAAACAUCUCCUCCCUUUUAGUUUGUAACCAUUUCCCCUUGCUCUGUCACAACAGACACUGCUAAAGAGUCUGUCCCCUUCUUUCUUAUAGUCCUCUUUUAGACAAUGAAAGGCCUCUCUCAGGUCUCCCCAGAGCCUUCUCUUCUCCAGGCUGAACAGCCCCAGCUCCCUCAGCUGUCAGUCUUCAUAGGAGAGGUGUUGCAUCCCUUGGAUCAUUUUUGUGGUGUCUUCUGGACACACUCCAACAGGUCCAUGUCUCUCCUGUACUGAGGACUCCACAUCUGGAUGCAGUACUCCAGGUGGGGUCUCACCAGCAUAGAGUAGAGGGACAGGAUCUUGACCUGCUGACCACACUACCAUUGAUGCAGCACAGGAUACAGUUGGCUUUGUGGGCUGAGAGCACACUUUGCUUAGGGACUUCACCUGUCCUAACUGCCCCAGUCUUUUUUUUUUUUUUUUUUGAUCUGGGAGUUGAAUUGAAUCUCAUAGAUGUUCCACCUAUAUCCCUGACAGCCCACAAGCUGAGUAAGCCUCCUAUUGCCACCAUAAUACUCAUGUUACGUAGUUACUAAACAGGCUGCCUUAGGUUCUGUCUGUAUCCACCACCUGCAGAUGCCUUGUUUCUACACUUGUCCUGCACCCUCCCCAUGUACUGUUUUCUCUCAUGAUUUCUUCCAUGCAAGCCAAGUAUCACUAGCAGAAAUAAUGCAGAGUUGAAUUCUAGAUGCUCACUUCUUUUGUCUGCUAAAAAGUAUCAGAACUGAUAUUUGUUUGAUAUUCUAGCCAGGCCAAGACUCUCAGUAUCUUAAGUAAUCACUCCUUCUGGAAAGAUAAAUAACAGAGAUGAGAGGCUGUAAGAUGCUCAUUUGAGCUACAGCCAGUGCCUUCUGGAGCCUCCUCUCAAAUUUCUCAGCUUGAGGUGCCCAUUGCAGGUAAAGAGCAAGUGAGCAGAAGUUGUACCUUGGAAGUCCUCUUGGUGAUGCCUCAAGUUCAUCUGUUCAUACAGCUCAAAAUAAAUAUUUAGGUUAAAGAUAUUGUGUGCUGAUGGAAAUAAUGUCACUCACAAGAACAUGUCAACUUCCGUUUCUUCUUGUAGCAAAAAUAUAAGCUUCCCAUUGCCACUAAGAAAGGAAUGAUGGGAACGAUGACCCAAACUACUGAUGCUUUCUUCUCCGAUGUCUGAGCUUCUGCAAUUACAUUUUUAAAGUAAAGUUAUACAAAACUGAAAGAAACAAUUGAAGAACAUUAUUACAUACGAAACGUGAAUGCAGCUUCAGGAGUGAAUCAAUCUAUUCUCCUACUCAUAUGCAAGGUCAUCUACGCUGCAUCAUUCCUAAUGGACACUCUCUGAUGAAUAUUAGCAUCAAUCCCACUUAUAGCUCAUAGUUCCUACAGUAAUGAAAGCUUUUCCCCCAAGUGAAUCUGAACGUUUUCUACUGUACUUCUAGGCUACUGCUACUUGACCAAGAGAUGGAUCAGAUCACUAAAUUCAAUUCAGAAUAUUUCCCCCUCCUGCUUAGAACAACACUAUUUCAUUCACUCUUCAUUUCAAACCUCCUUUAGUGUUUUCUAAACCUUUGGUCAUCUUUGUGGCUCCAUUUGGGGCACCAGUUGGUCAGAAGUGUAAAACAGUGCCCCAGACUGAACUGGAUGAGCAGGUGUUUCCAUGCCUCAAGCAGUGGAUAUAACAGGUGUGUGAUCAUGUUAAGGUCUAGUCAGAACUGGCUACCUAGUCUUUUCUUUACAGUUCAGAGGCAGAAAAAGAGAGAAAGAGAUUGGCAUUUUCAGGAAGUGAUGCCUGGUAUCUCGAGACAGCUGCGUAACAGAAGUGAGGUACAUUGCUUUCUAGGUAUUACACACUCUUUCUCUGGACUUAGGUGAAGCACAUCUCAUCCCUGCUUCCUAAUAAUUUAAUUGUGUUUGAGUACACAUUGUAUUAAUGUGUAUUAAUUCAGAACUGGGACCUUAAUUUGUUCUUGCUAAAGGUUACCAUGUGACAAUAAUAAAGUAAGAUAAUAUAGCCUCUAGAAAUCAACUUGUCCUAAGUUCAUGGACAAAAAUUCUUAUGAAUGUAGACACCAUACUCCUAGAUCUUUUAUAUUUAUCUCCCACUUUUUUUUUUUUAACGUGUUCUCGAUAAAAUUAAAUGCAUGUUACUCAAAAGUGACGUGAUUAUUUCAUCUAUUUCCACCACACAAAAGAUACAUUCAUUAUCUCACAUCCACCCUCAUGGAUUCCUCUAAAGAAGGAAUUGGGUUUGGGUCUUUUGUGAAACACACUGCUGAUACAUGGGUUCUCUGGAUCCUAACAGUACUAAUUCUUCUUAGUAAAACCCUUAGAGAAGAAAGCAAACACUUUACACCAGGAUUGUUGAGGCAGGGAACUUAAGGUGAUUGUCGUGAGGAGUUGUUCAGGUCCUCCUGUGUUCAUCUGGCUCACUCUGAGAUGUGCAGCGUUGAGGAAGGGAUGUGGGAAAGGGAGGAAUUGAUAAGCUAAGUGGCAUAAACGUACUCCUGCAUUCUUACCUCGCUCUUCAACGACCAACAUUGUUCCAUUUCCAUAUACUUUUUUACAGAAAGGUAUUUCAAUAAUUAUCUCACAGUAGUAAAACCCCGUGUCGUUUGCACUGGCAGCUUCAAUCACUAGGACAUCCUUGGUUUCAUGGGUGCCGUUGUGUACAUAGAUAAGAUCUGAUGAUACAAUUCUGGUGACGUUCUCUUUAUUAACAAGAUACCAGCUGAUUCUAUAUCUCUUAAUUGACUUUUCCCAAAUACAGGAUAUUUCAGUGGAGUCUCCAAUAGACAGGUGCAUUUCUGUUGGUGUUUGGGUGACUUUUACAUUACUGGGAUCUGUAGCCACUGGGAGAAAUACAUAUAGAUUUAAAGAGAAAGAGGCAAUUAGAUCAUAUAACACCUCUAAUAUCUACAGUGAUGCUAUUUUAAAUAAUGCUAAUACUGUAAAAUCGUGAUGACAUUAAUUUUAAUGGCCAGUUACUACCCACUUCUUGAAUAUAGACACAUGGUGGCUGAAGUAAACUUUUAGUCAUGUGUUUCAUCACUCCAUCACUGGUGCAUAACAUGUGAAGUUUUUCUUCAUACUUGUCAAUAUACUUAUUUUUUAUUUAAAAUAAAUGGCUUUUUUUUUGUAAGAGAUGUUGAGUUUGAAGCACAUUAAACACUUUGCUUUUAUCUGCCAGAUAAGGAAUGACCGAAAGGAGUUAUUCAGAAUGAUUCAUCCAUAAUGAAAAAGACUUGUCAAAAAGAAAGAAAAACUCACUAGAAAUUUUUGUCCCCAUGUAGGAGUUCUUUUCCUGCCCUGCUUCUGUGUAGUGACAAAAAGUACAGCAUUCUUGUCUCGGGUUCUGUAAUUUUGUUUGAAAUUUCCUUUCAAGUUAUUGCUGAAAAGGUUAUAUCUAUAGCAUGACAUUCACCUCCUUAUUUUAUUACAUAUUCCACUCACACCACAGUUAUUUCAUCAGGUUUUUGUUUGGCUUUAAGCUAUGGCUGACUCGGCUGGUAUUGGAGAACAUCACACUUUUUACUCUUUCCUGCUUUCAAUCACUUCAACACUCACUGCCCACCUGGUAGAUUGUCUCCAUGAAGUGCAGUACAACAGCAUACAAAGCAUUUUCUUCCAAAGUGAAAUCACUGUGUGGGCAUCAGAUAAUGUUUUUCUUCAAUGCCAAUGAUUUGGUUGCUCACCACAGAAAUGCCAAUCCUAUACAAAUCUAUCCCUAGACUCCUGAGAAUAUGGAUUUCAUUUGCUAUGUCAAGAAUUAUCAUCACUGUUCUUCUAGUGUGUAAACUGUUAAAGCGAGGAACUACUCAAAAGGAGUGUAAACUGUGUAAUUUCCUUCCAAUUCUUAUCCUGCAACUCAGACUCUUUUUACACCAACAUAUAAGGAAUGUGAUGACUUGGCCUUUAACUGGCCCUUAACGUGGCAUCUGAUUAAGUUUUAUUAGAAUUACAUAAAGUAUGUUUAACCUUCCUUAGCUCCUUAACCAUCACACCUAAUGGCGCCUCUACUUUUUCCCCACAAUGCAGCGCUCAACAGCACCUCCAUUUCAGUGAGCCCAGCAUUCGCAGCUGCUCUGUGAAUUACCCAGACCCUUACUGGGUAUGUAUGGGAGGAACAGCAACAGCAGAGGCUCACAAAACCAGCCUGAAAUUCUAUCAGGAGCUUUAUUAUUAUAACACCACGCUGGAAGCCAAAUGCUUUGCACUCCCUAUUGAGGAUACUUCUAAGUAAGAACACAGCAUAUUUAUUGCUGUCAGUUUGUGCAAACAGCUCUAACUUUGCAUUAAGACGUAGACUAAAACAGAGUAUCUGCCUACAUUAAAAGCAGAGAUCAUUAUAGGGGUAAUAAACAGCUGAACAAUAAGAGAGGAACUGACGCAGUGAGCAAACAACAACUUGGAAGCUGUUUGAAGAACUGAUUGCUCAUGUCACUUCUGCUCACUUGUUUUGUCAUUUAAAAUAUGUUUAAAAUAUAUUUUAAAUGUCUAAGAUUUGUUCCUUUACACGUUUUCCCACAACAGUCUCUCGGUAAAAAUGCCUUUUGAUCCUCCACGUGCUUUAAUUUUGAUUUCUGGAUUACAGUAACACACUUCACGUUUGUCUCACGUACACACAAGUCUAUCUGAGGUUGAUGUGCUUUGGGCUGGAUUUAAAAUAAAUAGAAGUCUCAAGAACUACAGGUUGCUAACGGUAAAAGAAUGAUAAGAGAUAAGCAAUACUUACCUAAGCAGCCAACACACAUUGCCAAAAGGAGUUUCAGUGAAGGGGCAACCAUCACGCAGUUACUGCAGCGCUCACAUCAGGGUGUCUUUCCUGAAGACGAACUAAACAACAAAUGAAAGCACGUCGGAGCCGCAGCCCAACUUCCUCUUCCCUCAUGUGGGGAACAUUCAAUGAAGUGCAAACGCAGCCCAGUGUUUCUCUAUGCUCUUCAGGGCACUGCAGUCAUAGUUCUCUCUGCUUCAGAGCCCAGUUAUGCCUUCUGAAAUCACGUUUCUUCUCAGAACUUCCACCAGUUGCCUUUCCUCGCGAGCAGACAGGCAUCCCUUCUGGUAAGUCACAAAGGGCUGCCUUCCAACAGCUGCAGCCCUCACUUCAAAACCUACCACUUUUGCAAUCUCCCAUUCAGGACCAUUCUGUGAAGAUGAGACUUCUCACUUCCUAAGGCUGUCAGUAGUCUUUUCCAUCCAAACUGAGUAAUUUUGCCCAAGCCUAAGAGGCUAUGCUUGUACAUGACACUGAUACCAAGCACUGCUCCUACGUUUCUUUAUCAUGCAUUUGCUUGAGGAAGAUUAUGAGCAUGGGUUGUAUGAAGUGAGCUAUGGUAUGUCACCAAGUUAAUGGCUGCCUUGAUGAAACUCAUCUCCAUCCAAUUGUUAAAAAAUAAUCAUCUGAAACACAGACAACUGCACUGAUUUGUGGCUCCAGGCCAGAAUCACUUAGAUUGCCUGGUAGAGACGGAGAAGGUAAAACACAUCAGCCUUAUUCCCUUGACCGAAGAUCUUUCAAAUGCAAAAGGAGCAGGACACACAGAAUCGUUCCACAAAUAUGCUCAGUUGUGUUACAUCAAACGUUGCAGUGACAGAAAUAAAAAAUAAAAAAGAAAUUAAAAAUCUACUAGGACACGAAUUAGUUAAUUUAAAAGUCUUGAUGUGAGCCUGUCUUAUCCAGAAAAUAUUCUAGUGCCAACAUCUGGUUGGCAGCAGCACCAGGCAUGCGUCCAGAACAGCUGAGCUGCAAUUUGUAAUGAAGACACAGCCACAUUUAGAGCCUGGAGCACUGUUCUCAUCUGUCAGCAACAAAACCGUGAUGCAUCGGUGUGCCUGCUGCUUCUCAGCAUCUGCCUUAUCAGGGUUGAUUCUGGUGUCACUUACACUGCCAGGUUAAACACAGAAUAUACCCCAACACAAGAGCAAAGGUAAAUAAGUUCCUGAGACGGUAAAUUCUAGGACUGCUGUAGGCUGUCCUUAUCUCUGAUGGUACCCAGCUGGCUAGAGCUAGUGAGAGCAUAACAAAUAUCUUUAAAUUGAAGUGAAGGAAGAGAUAAAUUAAAUACUUGCAAAUAUUCUGUUGGCUCUACUAGUAUUGAAAUUCAUGUUAUCUUUGGUGCAGAAUAAAUGAAAUGGGUAUGCACACACCCAAGGGAGAACUUAGCUUCUUUUACAUUUAAAUAUGUGUAUCUGUGCACUUCGUGCUCAGGUGUGCAGCUGGCAGCUCCAUACGUAGAGGCUGGGUGAAACUUUUCCAAUAGUGCUGAUAGCAGCUCACAUUCACUCUGAAAGAUGCUCUGGUUCCAAUCCAAAGCAUCCACUGUCAGAGAUGAAAUGAACUGGCACAGAAAAAGGGUUAGAAAAAUGGUUUAUUUUUAGCCCACGUUACUUCAUUGUAGCAGUUCACAGCAUAACCCCACAAACUCAUCGUGGUAUUACUGAGUGGGUGGAAAAAAAUAUGGUGAGUAUUUCUCAAGCCAGCUUGCAUCACACAAAACAACUAUGUGGGUCAGAAUGCACCCACAACAGAGAGAUUCUUUUCAGCUUUCUCACUUCGGCUACAAUUAACUUCACCACAUUUGGACUCUCUGCACACCAAGGACUCAUAAGUCUUCCUUGCCUCCAGCAAACACCGGGUGCAAAGCGUGCUGCCACCUGGGCUCUCACCUGGCUCUGUGUAACAGACCGGGUAGCAUCUCACUGCCACCAGCGGAGCUUUACUUGCUUUCUGUGAUAUAUCCACACUAUCAAUUUGGUCCAGCUUGGACCCAAGCAAAAAGCAGAAAACUUGGCUUGAGAUCAUCUCCAGGACUUUUCUCAAAACAUUUAUUAGCAUGGAAAUAAACCCCACCUGAUUUGUUUUCCAACAAUGAACAAUAAAUUACAUCUGAGCAGAAAAACAGCUCCGUAGCACAACAAAUAGGCCAGCUGUGCCUACCACAAUUCAUUUUCAAAUAAAUAUGAGUGCAAGUCAUAUUUUUACCCUCGCUAGUGAUUAAAGUAGUGAUUUGCAAUAUUUGAGCUUUGAACGUCUCGUAUCAGUUUCACGCCCUCUCCUUGUUUGCUCCCUUUUCUCAAUACACUCCCACAGAACCCUUCCACUCUGCAAUGGUUGCUCACCAAUUUCCAACCAAAACUAAAAGCAAAGGUUGCUUACCAUGGCACAAAUGUGCUGCUUCUGCACAGGACUUUUUCCUCUGCUUACAGUUUACUCGCUCUCUUUUCCUUUAUGUGCACUAUCUGAUGUAUGGCUUGAAGUAAUGUUUGAGUACAGAAUGCCCCGAUUUCUAUUAAGUCAUUAUGUAGCAGUGCCAUAUCUCCCUUCACCAUCUUGAUUCAUGUGAAUAAAAUAAUGAUAACUAAGUGAUGGCCCCUCUACAGAGAUUGGAAUGCCUGCAGGCUUCCAUUUGCUUGGGCUGACAUUUAUCAGGAAAAUAACAAAACAUGCAGUGACAUUUUCUAGCAGGAAAGUCACACUAUUACAGAUCACCUUCUUGGAUGCCUCUGGUGGAGUACAAGGCUCUCUCUGAUAAAUUAUUCCUGAAUGGUCAACCAUUCUGAAGUAACUCCAGGUAUUCUGGUGUCAUCCCACGCCUGCCUGAUCCCCAUUGCCCCUUUUAACCAGAAAGUCAGUAGAAAUUGAAAAACAAACAAAAACCCCAAACAACAGAUACAUCAGAUGGUGAUGAGGUCUUCCUGUUUAUUAGUCUCCUGCAGAGAGGUUUUCCACAGGAUUUCUUCUCACCUAUCCUGUAAGAAUCAGAUCAACCUGGCAUGUGGGAGAGCAGCACCCUGAAUUAACAGCUGUAGGACCCAAUACUGUGUGCCUACUUCUUGGGCAGGAUUUGCCUCACUCACUUAGAAUACAAUUCAAUUUGAGAAUCUACCAGCAUGCCUUGUUGUUAUUAGCAUGUGUAUCAGACAACACAACCAGAUCAGCCAUAAAAACACGAAGUGAAGUCAUACCACUGUAUAACCUACACAGUAUGCCCAUAAUAAUACAUGGUACCUCCAAGCAGAGAUUGAAAAAAGAUAAUCAAAGUGACUCAGUUGAACACAUUUCACUUUCUGAAUACACACAAAAUAAAAUGAAAAUAAAAUGAAAUCAUCCUUUACUGCAGCCUGGUUACGGUGUUAUACACUUUCCCUAUGGGGUUAAUGCUGCAUGAAAACAGCUUCCGCUGCAGCAGGGCAGGUCAGAUUGGUGUAUGCCAAGUGUUUAUAGCCAAGUGUGAAAAAUAAAUACGUAACAACAGUUGUCCACCUAGUAAAAAGCAGCAGUCUCUGUGGUGACUUUAAGGUGAUGCAGUCGGUCAGUAUAUACCGGCUGUCUUCACAGAGAAGCCAACCACCAGUGCAGCUCUUCCAGCACAGCUAUUUCACGACAGUCCUUUUCUCUGUUUCCUUUGUUCUGGAACAGCAUCUCUGCAUGGGGGGACGUAUUGCUGAAAAGCCUAACUACGUCAGAACAACUAUCACAGCAAAAUGUAUGUUUUUAGAUGAAUCCAGAUCUGAAAUUAUUGAUUUAAAACCCACUUGUACUUCCCUUUAAAUCCCAGGUGUUUCAAGUUCUGCUGGCCAGAAAUAGAGCUUCGUGCAUGCUGUACACAGCACAAUUCAUCAUUACCACUGCAGUAAGUGUUCAAUGUGAUUCUCAUCUCAGCCACAUGCAUUUUCACGGUGAAUAGGUAAAUUUAGGGCAUGUGAACAGAAUGAGAUUCUACAGUUUAGGCUAAGAAAAAAAAUAGAAAAAUGCAACAGUUCUUUUGAACACAAAAACAUACCAGCUAUUAGGAAAGCUGGUCGCUGUCUGUUUCCUUUAGCUGCUGCUCAAUCAGAUCUGCUUAGAACUUGCACUUACUGUCAGUUUCUCUCUAAACACUGCCUUUCGUAACUAACUAGAACAGAACAGAAGACUAAUGGGAUAGUGUGAAGCAAAUCCAGUCAACUCCAAAUCUUAAGAGAGAUGGUUGUAAUGAACUCACUGCAUGGGAAUACCAACACCGCAUUCAACUUGAGUUCACAGCAAAGCAGAAUGUUUGUCGUUGUUGCCUGAAAGACAAAGUAGCUCAAAGACGUGAUAGGCAUAUAGAAACACAGAAUGGAUUUGAGCAAAUUAUUACUCUGUGACUGAGAAGCCAUCACUAACAAUAAAAACCCCAAGAAAGGACUCUUGAAACUACCACAGUAAGAAAGACAAUUCAAGACUAGAGGACCAAUGUGCCUUUGUCAGCAUUCCCAAAUGAAACAUCAUAAAAGCAAUCACUUUAAAACCACCCGCAGGAAACAUGAAAUUGUUCAAACCACUGCACUGCCACACUAAGGCCAUCUUUGUAUUUUCAAACUGAACAAAUUUCAGAAAAAAAAUGAAUCGUAAGCAAUUAAGUAAUAAAAAUAUACACAGGUCAACAGUUCAAUUAAAUUUAGAGUUUAUUCCAAAAUGACAUUCUUUUCAUUGACAGGAGCAGAAUAUCCUUCAAGACCAUCAUUUAUGUUUUCAAACAAAAAUGGAAAGCAAUUACACAUUCAGUCCUGAAACAAAGUCAGACUUUACUGAUCUUGAAAAUACACAAAGAAAGUCCUUAUUUCCUUUGGGUGAACAGUUACAGUAAAGUCGUCUGGGAUCUUUGUACUAUUGGAGAAUCCUGUAAGACACAACACAGAAAAAUUGGUAACUUAUUCAAAAAGGAGCUUUAUUUAUAUGUACAUAUUAUUCUAUCUCAACAGAUGCAAUUUGUCCAUUUCUUAAAAGCUAUUGUUUGAGCAGGUUCUCUUCUUUUAAAGCUAUAGGUAGCAUGAGAUUUAUGGUGCACUCUCAUUCUUAAUGUUAAGAUACAACAAUCUAUCUACUAUUCAUAUACUGACUCAUACCAGAAAAUGUGGGUGAUUUCUGUCAUGCGUUUUAGUUCGUCAUGAGUAAAAAACAAGCAAGUUCCUAACUGCAGGUCAAGCAGAACUUGAAACUCACAGCUUGCCCAGACCAAGAUAUCUGCAAGCAUUUUACAAGGCACAUAAUAUGGUUGUGAGAGUAAGGACAAUGUCCGAGCAACUGGAAUGGGAAAUGAAAUGAGGUCACCUACAGCACUUGAGUGCGAGCCCUAACUGGAAUCCUAUCCACACAGACCUUUAAGCUGAUUACAGUGGGGGAUUUUUUUUAACUCCAGCUGUCUAUUUUUCUAGAGCACAAGGUUAAGCUCAGAUUAACACAACUCAUUACCAUACAACAAAAUUCAUGAAGUGUGACUUCAUAGAGUAGCCACUUGAAUCUGGACAAAGAUAGAAACCUGAAAUCUUUUUUGAGUUUAACACUUCUGGGUGAAAUAAGCCAUAAGAGAAAUACUGCAGUCUAGUUCUUGCUAAUUUCUACUGUUGGCAGACUAUGCUAGAUACUAGGUAUGUGCUAUAGAUGAACAAUACAUUUUUCAUCUUGCACAUACAGAAAUAUGUUUAAUCAGAGAACUCAUAGAGCUUCAACUGUCAACAGGAAUAAAGACACCAACUGCCCUGUUCCACCUACCUUUGCUUCGAUUUUGCACAGUCUUCCACUUCCACCGCUUCAAAGUGUUCACAUCCCAGGUGCCUGUGAGUGAUCGCUCUUCCACUAACUUCACUGAUCCCAGUUCUUUCAGCAAACUCUGCGAGUAAAGAGUCACAAUUUAUUGAGGCUAGCUUUACAACCACUGAUCUAAUACACAGAUAGACCAGAGCAGAACUUUAUCUAAAGCACUGACCUGCUAAGCAGAGCAGUGGAGACUGAAAUCUGUGAAGUCACGCAAGACACGGACAACUACAAACUCACCUGAACUAAGAAGUGGAGGUGAGCUUCCUCUAUAUCGUAACAGAGUUCUAAGCCUACUAAUUUUGCCAUUCAAGAAUUGAAACUCUUACUGAACUUUUAAGAAGAAAACAGAAAGCCCUACACCUUGUUCCACUUUGUUAUUGUCAUAUUGUCUGCAUACUGCCUCUAUGACAAAUUUAUGUGAAGUAAUAGCUUUUGUCUGAAUAUAAGUUUGAAUAUAAGUAAGACCUGCAUUCCUCUGAGGCUAAAGUUACAUUAGCAUUUUCAUAUCCACCUUUUAUGCAGUCUGUAUCACAUGGGACAUUUCAUUCCAGAACCAGUUCUCCUUGGAACAAAAAUACCUUGAGUGGUGUUCUAUCCACAAGGAUUACAUUUACCUUCAGAUUCACCAUCACAGGCUGAGACAGCACAGGAUCCUCUCCAACUUCAUACAGAUGUCUAAUUCUCAGCAGGACACGACUGAAGUCUGCAUCACCUUGCUUCUGUUUACCUUUAGGAAAAAACAACAUGAAACAGUUUCUUACUUAUAAAAUAAAAACAAUUUUUUGUUGUUGUUUGGUUUUUAUUUUGGUUUUAAUUUUUCGUGCUUUACAAUUACAUUAUUUGAACUUUUGUUUCAUUUUUGAAGAUUAGCCAGGAUGCUAAGAGCAAGAAGUACCCAGUUCCUGCUGUUAACAGGACAUGCCACUAACUCAUACAGGAGCCAUUUUACUGUUUGAGUAGAGCAAUCGUUAACUGCCAACACAAUUACCUGCCUUGAUAGAGGGAUUUAACACUUGAAUAAAUGCACUAUUUACAGAACACAGAAAAAUAGAAAGACACCCUUUUGAAAGCACCUACCCAUGUGAAUGGCGCGGACCUGCUCUGCAUGAUUAGAGCUGUAUCUCCACCCUGGAAUGCUCAGAGUCUGGAGAUGAAGAUUAGGUGGGACAGUGACAGAAAAACUGUGGGCUGAUCUCUUCUGAAGUUGCCCAGGUAGCUCUGGUUUAUCUCCUCCAUGCAAAAGGAAACAAAGCGGACAUCAAACAUCCAUCACGCAUACAUAAGCCUGGCUAGAGUACCAUAAAGAGAUUUUUUCGUUUUCUGCCAAGGCAGAUCUAAAGCAGAUGCUAUGCUUUCUCAUCUGAGGUCUUCUGAGAUACAAAGCAGAAGGAAUUUAUGUCCUGGAGGACUGUAUUAAAGCUUCCAAUAAAUUGCACUGCAGAUUUCACUGCAGUCUGAUGCUACUAUUCCACUACCAGCCUUCAGUUUUAGUUAAUAAGUCAAGUAUUUUUAAAAGAAUGACUCAAAAAAGGUCACUAAGGACUCAGCAUCCAGGAACCUGAUGUAUGGUACGCUAGCUACUUUGCAGUAAUUCCCCGUGUGGACAUUUUGUUCUCAUUACAUGCUCUACAAUUUUUUCUCCUCUAGAAGCAGAGAUAAUUACAUAACAAGAGAAACAUUCUUGGAAGCACUUGGAAAACAUCCAUAUCUGAAAUUAAUGCAAAGUAAUUAACAGUCUGUAAAUCUGCCUUCAAACUCACUGUAUACUAACUUCACCACACAGGAGGCUUAAAGUCUGCAUUUACAAACUUAAUAGUGUAAGUCUAAGCAAAACAGAUAAACUAUUCAGAUGCUAAAGAUAGCACAGGAGAUAGAACAAGUUACCUGAAAACGUUCCAAACAUUACAACUGGCCUGUGCUGUAAUGCUAGGCCACUUGUCCGAUACAAAACACUGGUGGCAGACUUUGUUCCUAAAAUAAGCCAAAACACAGGACGAACCACUGAAGAGUCAUUCAAAGUAAGAUUGUAAUUUAGGUCCCACUGAAGAUUGUUCCAUAGUCUCCUGUGAAGCAUCACCUGUGUCAAGAAGAAGUGUCACAAAAGUAACCAGCCACAAAGCUAUCCUCUCCUAAUAAAGAAAAACCCACACAACUGCAUUUGUUACCUCCACUUGUCCGUUCCCUUGACUUGAGACACCAUGAGCUCUUUCUGCAAGCAGCACCAGCCUUGUGGUAUCAUCUUCAAUGUAGGCAGUCUGGACCAUAGGAUAAUAGUUCUGAAAACACAUAGUAAUUCACGCUGUAUUGAUAGUAAUCUAGAUAAAAGUGAUGGAGAAUGAAGAUAAAACAUCAUCUAGUUUGGAUUACACCUUGGCACCUACCCGCGCUGCUGUAUUAUUCACAUAUGCCUUGAAUGGUCUCUUCUGAAUCUGAAAUCCAUUGUCAUCAGUGUAGAGCAGCUGCCCAGUGUUCAAAUUUGUGCUUGUUCUUAGAACUGCCUCACGAUUUACUUCCAAAGGUCCAAUACUGUAUUCUUGCUCUAUCCUAUGACAAAGCAACUUCGCAUCAUAGCCUUCUGGUACUGAAUACAUCCUUGUAAAUACUGCAUGUGUGUAAUACUGAGCAGUAACAUUGCUGUAAAAACAUGAAGGAUUAUUAAUUAUUAUAUAUAAUUACAUUAUAAAGCAGACUACUACGGUAACUCUGAACAAUCUUCACCUCCCUCCCCGAGUGGUGCGACUUAUCUAAAAGGAAGUGCUUCCUUAGCAUUAUGCUUAGCAGAUGCUCGUUAGUUCUCGUCUGAAACCUUCAGAGUACAAGAACUCCACUGUGUGGAAGAGGAGCUGCACAGAACGACUCACAUACAUCAACAGAGGACUACACAUUCAAGUGAAGUAAAGCUGUAAUGGAGCUGCACCUGAAGAAGUAUUGCCGUAUCUCUGUCACUAAGUUUCCAGACACCACUUCCAGUCCAACCGCUUGUGAUACUGGAACAGCAGAAGAAUUAGGGGCAAAUAAGUAGUUGUCUGAAAUGGGUCCUUUUGUAACAUCUCCGUUCACGUGGUACUCGAGGAACUCCUGGGUCACCUGGACAGUCUGGUUAGUCUCCCUGUGAACCGGAGAGGGAAAAACAAAACCUGUAUUACCUACAAACACAUUUUGUACAUAACAGAUGCAAAGCUGUAAUGAAGUUGUGAAAAUAAGAAAAAUCUGUUUUCUCACACUGAGGAACUCAUUUGGUAAGACUUAGGAAAUGAGGACAAGAGAGAAUUAAGGCACACCCUGUUAAGACAUCUGUCAGUGUAUAAAUAAAAGGAUUUUCACGCCAUUUUGUACUUCCGUAAAAUAGGAGCAUCUUAAAACAGGAACAGUGCUUACCUUAGGUCAUGUUUUGAAGGGCAAGCGAGAGCUGCUACAGGAUCAACAACUAGCUGCUGCACAAAAAAUGAGGAACACCUCAACUUAAUAAUGAAUAACCAGAUUAAUUUGUCUGAUGUUGUAGCUAAGAAAACCACUGUGGCAAAGGUUUCCAUACUUAACAAUGGUAACAAGAAUAUAGUGGCAACAGGGUAACAAAAUCCACACUUGCUCAGCAUACUUUGUCUCCUCCUUAUGGUUAAGAUACUUAGGAACCCGUUUCAUGCUCUCUGCAAAGUCACAUUUAAGAUGCUAUCUUAAUCCUAUCAGGCAAAAAGCACAGCUCCACUGAAACCUGGAGGAAUCGGGCCAAUUCACAUUGGCCAAGAAAGACAAGCUGCAAACCUCACACUGAUCUUGACUGUUCUUUCAUUUCAUUUGCUUAACUAAAUUUGCCUAAUUCAUUUGCCUAAAUGUUUACUUUCAAAAUGUUUUGUAGUUUCCUGUCAUAAAAGAAUGACUUCCAAAUACUACUAACUAGUAAGCCCUUACUUUAUCUUAUAAAGCUCUUAGUGUAGCCAUAGCAUACGUGCUGAGCUCUUUUUAAUAUGCACAUCCAUACCUCUCCUUAGCUGAAAAGUACAAUGAGAUUCUUCUGAUAUAUUAAUAUUGUGAUCUGUCAUGUUCUCUUAUUACUGGUUGCAUGGUUCAACAAGGCAACAACAUUACAGAAAUAGUACGAAAUUACACCCAACAUAGAGUUCUCCAUUCCACGGAAAAUACUGACAUGUGAAUGGCAGUGGAAAAGAAAUAAUUAGGAAGAAAAUUUAGUUAGGUCUUGGAAUUAAGGCACACAAUAUAGGACUUGGAUUUACUUUUACAAAAUGGUUUUACAGAAUCUGAAACACAAAGAGCAAGCAAUCUCACCUGUUCGUAAUGCUGUGCAUCAGAUUAGUGUUUUGGUCAAACACAAUCUCGUAGCAAUUGCUGGCCACAGGAAGCAGUUUUUGACUUUGCUGAACUGAACGCAUCAUGUCUUUUCGCUUGUAUUUAAUUGAUCUUCCAAUAAAUGCAGACUGUUUAUCAUUA